AACGAACGCUGGCGGCAGGCCUAACACAUGCAAGUCGAGCGAGGACUACGGUCCUAGCGGCGGACGGGUGAGUAACGCGUGGGAACGUGCCCUUUGCUUCGGAAUAGCCCUGGGAAACUGGGAGUAAUACCGGAUGAGCCCUUUGGGGGAAAGAUUUAUCGGCGAAGGAUCGGCCCGCGUUGGAUUAGGUAGUUGGUGGGGUAAUGGCCUACCAAGCCGACGAUCCAUAGCUGGUUUGAGAGGAUGAUCAGCCACACUGGGACUGAGACACGGCCCAGACUCCUACGGGAGGCAGCAGUGGGGAAUCUUAGACAAUGGGGGAAACCCUGAUCGAGCCAUGCCGCGUGAGCGAUGAAGGCCUUAGGGUUGUAAAGCUCUUUCAGCUGGGAAGAUAAUGACGGUACCAGCAGAAGAAGCCCCGGCUAACUCCGUG
rnacentral:rRNA from 1 species